rnacentral:tRNA from 1 species
GCCGAAGUGGCGAAACUGGCAGACGCAGUUGACUCAAAAUCAACCGAGGCUAACACCUCGUGUGGGUUCGAUUCCCUCCUUCGGCA